rnacentral:rRNA from 1 species
UUAAAUUGAAGAGUUUGAUCAUGGCUCAGAUUGAACGCUGGCGGCAGGCCUAACACAUGCAAGUCGAACGGUAACAGGAAGCAGCUUGCUGCUUCGCUGACGAGUGGCGGACGGGUGAGUAAUGUCUGGGAAACUGCCUGAUGGAGGGGGAUAACUACUGGAAACGGUAGCUAAUACCGCAUAACGUCGCAAGACCAAAGAGGGGGACCUUCGGGCCUCUUGCCAUCGGAUGUGCCCAGAUGGGAUUAGCUAGUAGGUGGGGUAACGGCUCACCUAGGCGACGAUCCCUAGCUGGUCUGAGAGGAUGACCAGCCACACUGGAACU